AGUGGCCUGAUCAAACAUCAGGCGAAGCCCCCCCCUUUAACCCCUAGGUUUGCCCCCUCCCCGUCAACACCAGUUUGAGAAAGCUGAUCCAAAAAAAAAAAAAGCAGAAACAAACAAACCACGAGUCACACAGGCAGGAGAAGUCAGAAGCCAACUGCAUGAAGGGCAUCAGCUGAGGUUCUGUAUAAGUAUUCCACAUAGGGCAUGGUUGCCACCGUACACAAACGCAGGGUCCCCUCAGCAACGUUGGUCUUUCUUAUAAGGGUAGAUGACAAGUAGCUCCCAGAUGUGAAUUUUCCACGCAGCGAAAAGAGAAAUGGAAGAGAGGCAUAUAUUAUGGACUGUGAAGAGUGUUGCUGAGACUCUUGAAGAGUCGACUUAUAAGAAGGUGAUGCUUCUCUCUGUUCUUUCUUGCCUUUUUUUUUUCCUCUGCCAGCCAAGUAUAAAGAAUUGUGAAUGAAUGAAAGAAGGCGUUCCAGGGUUUUUUUUUUUGUUUUUUUCUUCUUUUUUUAAAGAGUUCAGAGUUUGACAGCCCAAAUAUUCUCCUUGGUGAAGAACUUCUGCAGUUCAAAAAAGCCCCAUUUGCCAGAGUAGGUAGUGUUCCAAAGAUACGAUGAGCACUCACUGUUCCCCAAAGCUGGUCUUGUGCCAGACUCAAAGCCCUGCUUUACUUAUUCCCUGACAGGUUGGACUUUGAAAUAUGAUUGCGCUGGUAAAAGAUCAAUACUACUUAAAAAAAUAUAUAUAUAUAUUUUGUAAGGGAAGAAGGAGGGGAUGGAGAGGUGGACAUGGGGGGCAGUGGGUGGGAAGAGGGAGGAGGGAAUUCCAGAUUAGCAAAGCCUUGUCUAUAUGUUAAACUCUUCCUCCUCUCCCUCCUACUCUGCGUUCUCCAGAUAAGCUUAGGAAAUACCUUGGGAUCUCAGCCACAUAAAUGCUUCUGUUGAGAAAGGAGGUCCCUAUAACACUGAUUGCAAUAUGAUCAGCUUUAAAGCAUUACAGAACACUGAGUGAGUUCUGCAACUUCAGAGAACAUGUGACAGCAACUCCAGCAAUUUUAUGAAUUAUAUACGACAAUUAAAAAGCCAAAAUCGUAUUUUGCAAUGCAUGAAGUCCAAGUAGACAUGAGACAACCUCCUUUAAGCUGUUUUAGCUCAUCGUGUUCCAGCCUUGCCUGACCUGAAGCACAGGUUUGUCUAGAGUGGCAAGAAAGAAGAUGGGACAACCAAUUAAAAUGUCGUAUUGGCUUAUCUCAAGGAUGCUUCACCCGACUGCUUGUAUUUGUUACUACACUUCUUUUUUUUUUUGCUUGCUUUUUGACUGUCAUUUUGGUAACCAAAAUAUUUUUACCUGAACUACA